CCUUCCUUUCCUUAAAAUCAUGGUAGAAAUGCAGCUGAUUCAGCAUAAUGAGCUGGUGUACCUGAAGGAGGAGCUGGAGCAAUAUAUAGCAGCACAACCGGGCAGAGGCCUCUGAGUCUGAGAUUGGAAAAACCCGCUGGAUGAUGAGCCUUUUGUUUUAGAUUGAGGUAAUUCGAUCUAAAGGAUGCACCGUGAGGAGGUGGCAUGCCGUGUCAUAUUCAUCUGUUUGCCGAAUGGAGAGUAGUGAGUGAGGGAUGUUUCCGAAGCUGUUGUCAGAAGAAAGGGACAAGUCAUGAAGUUUCCUACAAGUUACAAGGCAAUAGUGACUACUAUUCAGAAGCAGUUUUUCCAGUACUGCAGAUU